rfam:Euryarchaeota archaeon TMED215 10094, whole genome shotgun sequence.
AUAUGGGCUAGGGGGGGUGUUGACGUACUCUAUUUUUCACAAAUCGUCGAAAAUGGUGACCUGAAGUCCGAGGGCGGCGUAGACGAGCCAUUACGGACUCGCCGGUUAACUACGACGCCUCGCCCCCAAGAGAUGCAGGUUGUUGGAAUGAUGAUCCGGAGGGAUCACCAGACCAUCCUAUGCCCGGGAACCAGGUCAGGCGCGGAAGCGAGCAGCCCGACCGGGGAUGCUGGAUGCCUUGGGGAUGCGGGGCUGAGAAGACCGGUGUAGAAACGUGUUGGUGACGAACGUCCACCGAGGACAUGCCCAUCA